UACGAAGGGGGCUAGCGUUGCUCGGAAUUACUGGGCGUAAAGGGCGCGUAGGCGGACAGCUUAGUCAGAGGUGAAAGCCCAGGGCUCAACCUUGGAAUUGCCUUUGAUACUGGCUGUCUUGAGUUCGGGAGAGGUGAGUGGAAUGCCGAGUGUAGAGGUGAAAUUCGUAGAUAUUCGGCGGAACACCAGUGGCGAAGGCGACUCACUGGCCCGAUACUGACGCUGAGGCGCGAAAGCUAGGGGAGCAAACAGG
rnacentral:rRNA from 1 species